rnacentral:rRNA from 1 species
ACGCUGGCGGCGUGCUUAACACAUGCAAGUCGAACGGAAAGGCCCUGCUUUUGUGGGGUGCUCGAGUGGCGAACGGGUGAGUAACACGUGAGUAACCUGCCCUUGACUUUGGGAUAACUUCAGGAAACUGGGGCUAAUACCGGAUAGGAGCUCCUGCUGCAUGGUGGGGGUUGGAAAGUUUCGGCGGUUGGGGAUGGACUCGCGGCUUAUCAGCUUGUUGGUGGGGUAGUGGCUUACCAAGGCUUUGACGGGUAGCCGGCCUGAGAGGGUGACCGGCCACAUUGGGACUGAGAUACGGCCCAGACUCCUACGGGAGGCAGCAGUGGGGAAUAUUGCACAAUGGGCGGAAGCCUGAUGCAGCAACGCCGCGUGCGGGAUGACGGCCUUCGGGUUGUAAACCGCUUUCGCCUGUGACGAAGCGUGAGUGACGGUAAUGGGUAAAGAAGCACCGGCUAACUACGUGCCAGCAGCCGCGGUGAUACGUAGGGUGCGAGCGUUGUCCGGAUUUAUUGGGCGUAAAGGGCUCGUAGGUGGUUGAUCGCGUCGGAAGUGUAAUCUUGGGGCUUAACCCUGAGCGUGCUUUCGAUACGGGUUGACUUGAGGAAGGUAGGGGAGAAUGGAAUUCCUGGUGGAGCGGUGGAAUGCGCAGAUAUCAGGAGGAACACCAGUGGCGAAGGCGGUUCUCUGGGCCUUUCCUGACGCUGAGGAGCGAAAGCGUGGGGAGCGAACAGGCUUAGAUACCCUGGUAGUUCCACGCUGUAAACGGUGGGUACUAGGUGUGGGGUCCAUUCCACGGGUUCCGUGCCGUAGCUAACGCUUUAAGUACCCCGCCUGGGGAGUACGGCCGCAAGGCUAAAACUCAAAGGAAUUGACGGGGCCCCGCACAAGCGGCGGAGCAUGCGGAUUAAUUCGAUGCAACGCGUAGAACCUUACCUGGGUUUGACAUGGAUCGGGAGUGCUCAGAGAUGGGUGUGCCUCUUUUGGGGUCGGUUCACAGGUGGUGCAUGGCUGUCGUCAGCUCGUGUCGUGAGAUGUUGGGUUAAGUCCCGCAACGAGCGCAACCCUUGUUCACUGUUGCCAGCACGUUAUGGUGGGGACUCAGUGGAGACCGCCGGGGUCAACUCGGAGGAAGGUGGGGAUGACGUCAAGUCAUCAUGCCCCUUAUGUCCAGGGCUUCACGCAUGCUACAAUGGCUGGUACAGAGAGUGGCGAGCCUGUGAGGGUGAGCGAAUCUCGGAAAGCCGGUCUCAGUUCGGAUUGGGGUCUGCAACUCGACCUCAUGAAGUCGGAGUCGCUAGUAAUCGCAGAUCAGCAACGCUGCGGUGAAUACGUUCCCGGGGCUUGUACACACCGCCCGUCAAGUCAUGAAAGUUGGUAACACCCGAAGCCGGUGGCCUAACCGUUGUGGGGGAGCCGUCGAAGGUGGGACUGGUGAUUAGG